GGUAUCGGAUUUGCUAUUGCACCACAUGUGUUUUUCUUUGAAACAAACUUGCUUUGGCGGUGGGCCCAGCCUGCCGCCAGAGGUCUAAACUUACAACCAAUUUUUUAUCAACUUGUCACACCAGAUUAUUACUUAAUAGUCAAAACUUUCAACAACGGAUCUCUUGGUUCUCGCAUCGAUGAAGAACGCAGCGAAAUGCGAUACGUAAUAUGAAUUGCAGAUAUUCGUGAAUCAUCGAAUCUUUGAACGCACAUUGCGCCCUCUGGUAUUCCGGAGGGCAUGCCUGUUUGAGCGUCGUUUCUCCCUCAAACCGCUGGGUUUGGUGUUGAGCAAUACGACUUGGGUUUGCUUGAAAGACGGUAGUGGUAAGGCGGGAUCGCUUUGACAAUGGCUUAGGUCUAACCAAAAACAUUGCUUGCGGCGGUAACGUCUACCACGUAUAUCUUCAAACUUUGACCUCAAAUCAGGUAGGACUACCCGCUGAACUUAAGCAUAUCAAUAAGCGGAGGAA
rnacentral:rRNA from 1 species